rnacentral:rRNA from 1 species
GGAAAUGUCAUAGCCUAACGGCUGAACCAGCAACUUGGAGGAAUGAACGGCAAUUAGCUGGUUGCACUAACAAUAACAAUAACUUAGUGCAAAAUCGACUCUGUCGAAUAAAAUUCUAGGUAGAAGUAUGAUAAUGACAUUAUCUAUCUAUGUGUCUUGACCAAAUUACGUGCCAGCAGUCGCGGUAAUACGUAAAAGACUAGUGUUAUUCAUCUUUAAUAGGUUUAAAGGGUACUUAGACGGUAUAUCAAGCCCAAAAAGGGAACUAAUAUACUAGAGUUUGAUGUAAGGAAGUAUAAAAGUACUGUUGGUGUAGAGAUAAAAUUCUAUCAUACCAAACAUGGCACAGGUUUAGGCGAAAGCAUCUUCUUAUGUAAUAACUGACGUUGAAGGACGAAGGCUUUGUGUCUCGAACAGGAUUAGAUACCCCAGUAGUCUAAGCAGACAAUGAUGAAUGUCAUAGAUUAGAUUAGAUUUAAUUUAUUCUAUAAAUGAAAGUGUAAGCAUUCCACCUCAAGAGUAAUUUGGCAACAUUGGAAUUGAAAUCAUUAGACCGUUUCUGAAACCAGUAGUGAAGUAUGUUGUUUAAUUAGAUGGUCCGCAAAAAACCUUACCACAAUUUGAAUUAAUUAUAUGUUUACAAGCGCUGCACGGCUGUCUUCAGUUAAUGUCGUGAGAUUUUGGUUAGUUCCAUUAAAUUAACGUAAACCCUUACUUUAUUUUUAUAUAAAGUAGCUCACCGCUAUAUUGAAAAAAUGAUAAAAGGGACUAAGACAAGUCAUCAUGGCCUUAAUAUUGUGGGCUAAGAA